AUGUGAAAUAUUCCAAGUAACUUCUGAAAUAAUAACAAUAAUGUUCAGCCUGCUGUUACUGAAUUUUAUAUCUGUUACACAGAUAUAAAUACUUAGAAACAUUAGUCAUAGAUAAAGUCCAUUCAACAGGUCGAGAUAUAGUUAAGUAUUAUUUAUUAGAGAAAUAAUAUUCAAAAUCAAUUUUUUUAAAAACAAAGCCUUGUAUGAUAAAAUUUGAUUCCUAUUUCUUAUAAAUUAUACCCUUUACAAUUGUCCCAUGUAACCUGUAAGUUACAAAAUAAAGGAUAAAAUGAGAUGAAGAAAUGAAUCUCAUAUAAUUAUUAAUAACAAAUACAAA